rnacentral:lncRNA from 1 species
AAUGCCUCUUACCAUGGAAUAAACCAGAGACAGUUAUAUUUUCCUGUGUAUGGAAGGAAUGAACACACGCCCAUGAUACAGUGGAGAGAAAUGUUACCCUCCCAGGUUAAGGCAGGUAACCUCGCUCAGGAAAAGGUUAUCUGACAGCCAAGGACAUAAAAUAAAUGCUGCAGGGCAAGCAGAAAACAUGCAUCAUGCAAACCAGGGCUGCCGCCUCCUCACCUCCUUUCAGCCAGCCCAGCCUCCCAGUCCUCUUUCUUGGGCUGAGCUGAGAUCUGCCUCGGGUGAAACGAGAGAUCCCUAUGGUUCCUCAAGUGCUUGGAUGGAGAGCCCUGCCUGCUGUCUCCGGGAACGGAGCGCUCCACAGCCUGGGGACAUUGCGAGACUGCCCUUGCCUGCUUCUGCUUCUAAGGUGGCUGCAUUCCCAGGAACCAGAGCCUGCUUUUCCCGAGCUCUCCUAAAAAUAUUUAUCCUCUGCCGGUCCCUAUGGGAGAACGACAGUGUGAAGAAGGGUGGUUUAUAAACUGCUUAAGGAUUUGCCUUUUGACGUUGCAAACCAAGGAAGAGGAAGAUAUUUAGGACAGACGAAGGUUUAAACAGUUGUCAAAUUCUAUUCAAGCACUUCUUCCCCGUCACAAACGCAGACGGGGAAAUGCAGAUCUAGCCCGCUGCUAGCAAGGAGGCGAAUGCGAUACCCUGAAAAUUCCCGACUGGACCACCUCAAAAAGCGACAGCCUCAAUGCAUUAGGAAAAACCUGCGUUUUCGUGGAACCCGGCGGAGGAAUUUUGUAUCCCCUUCAAAUAUUGCGUAAGAGGAGGAAGAGAGAAGCAGCGCUGGGCUGCACCUCACCACUUGCUGUGCACCCCGGAAAGUGGCGUCCAGCAGCAUCAGCUUCCAGGGGUCGGACACGGAGCCAGGCAGCGGGAUGUAGACGUAAUAGGCGGCCAGCGCCACCAGGGCGGUGAGCAGGACACAGGACGACCUCAUCUUGCCCUGGCUCGGCUCGCCAGCGGGCUGGCAAAGAGGAAAGGGCGAUACCACCCGGAGACCUCCGGCAACUUUCUGCCCGCGGCAGCUGCUCAUUCACGCGUUUCUUAUAAGCCCAGGAGCCAAUCAGAGGCUGCGUCGGGAGGAAGUUGGAGCGCGGACAUGCCCCCUCUACGGUGUCCUUGCAAAGUGUGGCAGUCACUACAGGUUUGAGGAAGGCUCUGUCGCUGCUCUGGCCGUAGGCACAGCGGACUCUGGAGGACACUGGUUUGUACUGCAUGCGUGUGAGGAUGGCUUUCCUCCUGGAAGGUCUCAAACGGAAAAUAGUUUCAGUGUGACGAGUCUCUGGACAAAGCAAGUGGGUCAUUCUGACUCAGAGUACUGAGAAAGGAUAUAAAAAUUCUGUUUUCUGGAGCCAGACUUGGAGUGGUUUGUAAGUUCUAGCUGAUAUAUGGCAAAAGAAGAUAUUAAAUUCUUCUGGCUCAAGCAAUGAAAGGCCAGUAGUACAUCUAGCACCCAAGUCUUGGUUUCUAAAUCCUAUGCUCCAAUAAGAGGAACCACGGCUUUUUGACACAACCUCUGGAGAAAAGGCUGAUACCAGGGCUGGGGCUGUAAAGUACAAGAUGAACCUGUUGUGCCAGAGAUGCGGAAGUGCUCAAAAAAUGAUAGGAACUGGUCAAAGGUCCACAGCUGCCAGCUUGAAGGGUCUCCCAGUGGCUGAAGCUGGGAUAAUUUUACCAUCAAUAUAAAUCAUCAUAAUGGAUAACCCAUUGAUUAAAAUAAAACUCAACAAUCUAUAUUAAUAUAAAUAAAUGAGGAAAGAAGAAAGGCUUUUCUUAAAAUAGAAUGCCAGCUAGUAUCCAUAGAAAAUCAUAAAUGAAUGCUAAAACUAGAGGGUAAAAAUUUGACACAGAAUUUUGGUCCUUCAUCAGAAGAUCUCUCCACAAAUUACUACAAAGGGAAAAAAUAAUAACUUUUUAUUGGAGAAACGUGUGGAUAUCACCUGAAAAAUUCUUUCAGAGAUGAACAAACCGUGUGGAUGCCCUCAAGAUGUGUACAACUAUAGAACAGGAGAUGGGUACGACCAUAGAACAGGAGAUGGGAGGGUCCAACCAUGGACCGGGUUCCGCCAGUAUGAGCCAUGAGCCAGUUGAAUCUGAAUGCAAAGAACAAGGACCGACUGGAGUCACAAUGCUUAACGGACCAAUGCUUUCUGACUCAGCUCCUCUCUACCCUGAAUAAAGAGACCCUAAUAGUUAGGCAGGAGUAUCAUCACCCCUGUUCAGCAUGAAGAAGUUACAGAAGAUGGACGUUCAUCCUUCUGCAACCCCUAGGAUUAAGGGUCCUCUUGUAAAAGGGAAAGGGGAGGUAUGUGGGAAGCAUUCAAACCAGAGUGACUCCAGUUUGAAAAAGGGCUAAGAAAAAUGAAGCUGGAUCACCAACUGGCAAUUAAGGAGUGCACAGCCUACAAUUGCCUUGCUCAGUUAAAAAAGGCCACCUUUUAUGCUAGUAAUAAUGAUAGCAAUAGUGAUACCUUCUCUUUUACAAAGAAGAGAAGGGGGACAUGUUGGGAAAAAGCUGAGUAUUGGGAAGAAAGCUGAGGCAGUGCUUGCAUGUCUGACAUAAUGUCCUCUGGAAUGUGUCUAGACUUGCUGGCUUCUUGCUUCUAGCCCUCCUAGGCUCCUAAAUAGAUUGUAUUCCCAUCAUCUCAAGUACCAGAACAUGUUCCUUAUAAAUGCUAAACCAUCACAGCUAUAGAUCAGGCACCUGCCCUUUUGACCGCCACAUUCUCACCACCUGUUUCUUUGUUGGAUUACCAAUAAAUAGUGUGGGCUCCCAGAGCUUGGGGCCUUUGCAGCCUCCCCAAUCGCGAUGGCCCCUGGUUCCACUUUACUUCUCAAACUGUCUUUUUCUCAACCCUUUGACUCUGCCAGACUUCGUCACCCCCACGACCUGGUGUUGGGUCUGAUCACCCCAACGACCUAUAUUUUGUGCUACCCUCUUAUCUCAUUCUGUGACUAAGAAUGCCUAACCUCCUGGGAAGGCAGCCCAGUAGGUCUGAGCCUUAUUUUUCUCAGUCCUUAUUCAAGAUGGAGUUGCUCUGGUUCGAAUGCCUCUGACACUUAGAGCUUUGUUGUUGAAAACUGAAUUAUAUACUGUACUUUUUCUUUUCUCUUAUUGAAAAAUCAUCCUACUUUGUUGAUUAUUUUCUGUAACGUCUUGAGGUAAUUUAAAAUUCCACCUGUCUCCAUCAGAGAGACAGGGACUCUUGUCCUUUUUAUUCACUGCUAUACCAUGGGUGUCUAGAAUAUUGCCUGCACAUGGUAGGUGCUUAAAUAAUAUUUUGAAUAAGUUAAUACUAUGAAGCAUUGGUAAAUUCACUCAAUUUUAAUGAAUGAAUUAAAUAUCUUCAAAUUUAAUGACAAUUGUCUUUAUUCAGAUUUCUGAACAAUAUAUUCAGAGAAAUAACUUUAGAGAAAAAGACAAGUGAAGAAAAAGAAUAAGAAGAAAAGCAAUGGAUAAACAGGAAAAGAGAAUAAAAAGGAAAAAUUUUAAACUCCUAUUAACUCCCCCAGAAAUAUUGAUUUUAUUGCUUAUUGUUUAAUAGGUGAACCAUCUGACUCUGCAUAUGCCUUGUGGUGAAAAUGUUUGGGACAUAGGAAUGAGACAUUUUUUGCAUAUACGUCAUAGUGGGCAUUGGCAUACCUGUGGCCUCUCAGAAUCUUUUGAACACUCUUUCUAAAUGUUGGUAACUUCCUAUACUGCAAAUGCUAGCUCUGUAAGUGGGAUGCUAUAAAUCUCACCUUCCCAGUCUCUCUCAUCUCAGAACCCAGCAUGUCCACUGGAUCUUGACUUAGCAGAAUUCAAGUAAGAUUUGACCCCAAAGGAAAACACUGCGAAAAAAGAUUUUGCAGCGUCUGUCAAGGGUGCAGAGUCUGAUCAAGAGGUACAAAACUCUCAGCAGCAUCAGAAGCAAAAUGUCCUGGUGGUAUAGUCUGUGUUCGCUGUUCGCAGAGGCUCUGUGGACAGUCUCAUGGUGGCUUUAGGGAGUGCAGGAUUGUCCCUAUGAUUUUUUGUUAAAACUUGCUAAAGUUGCCAGGCACGGUGGCUAAUGCCUGUAAUCCCAGCACUUUGGGAGGCCGAGAAGGGUGGAUCGCCUGAGGUCAGGCGUUCGAGACCAGCCUGGCCAACAUGGCUAAACCCCGUCUCUACUAAAAAUACAAAAAAUAGCCAGGCAUAGUGGUACGUGCCUGUAAUCCUAGCUACUUGGGAGGCUGAGGCAGGAGAAUCACUUGAACCCAGGAGGUGGAGGUUACAGUGAGCCGAGAUCAUGCCGUUACACUCCAGCCUGGGCAACAGAGCCAGACUCCAUCUCAAAAAAAUAAAAUAAAAACUUGC